rnacentral:rRNA from 1 species
GGGUGAGUAACGCGUAAGCAAUCUGCCCCCACAAUCGGGAACAACCGUGCCAACGCGCGGCUAAUGCCGGAUAUUGUAGUCUACUGCAUAGUAGGCCAACGAAAGAUUUAUUGUUGUGGGAUGAGCUUGCGUCCGAUUAGCUAGUUGGCGGGGUAAUAGCCCACCAAGGCGACGAUCGGUAGCCGGCCUGAGAGGGUGAUCGGCCACAUUGGGACUGAGAUACGGCCCAGACUCCUACGGGAGGCAGCAGUAGGGAAUAUUGCGCAAUGGGGGGAACCCUGACGCAAGCAACGCCACGUGUGGGAAGAAGCAUUUCGGUGUGUAAACCACUGUCGGAAAGGAAUAACGGAAGACUUCGGUCUUUAUGAAUGUACUUUUAGAGGAAGCACCGGCAAACUUCGUGCCAGCCGCCGC